rnacentral:rRNA from 1 species
UACGUAGGGGGCAAGCGUUGUCCGGAAUUACUGGGCGUAAAGCGCGUGUAGGCGGGGCGACAAGUCCGGCGUGAAAGGCUCGGGCUCAACCCGAGACGGCCGUUGGAAACUGUCGUUCUUGAGGGUCGAAGAGGAGAGUGGAAUUCCUGGUGUAGCGGUGAAAUGCGUAGAGAUCAGGAGGAACACCCAUGGCGAAGGCAGCUCUCUGGUCGACCUCUGACGCUGAGACGCGAAAGCGUGGGGAGCGAACGGG